CAUUCAGUAGCCCAGCUACUUGUUUACACCCUUGUCUUUUGUCGUACUUAUCGUUUCCUCGGCGGGCUUGCCUGCCGGUUGGACAACUUUAUUAACCUUUUUAAAUUACUUCAAUCAGCGUCUGAAUAAUAUACAAUAAUUA
rnacentral:misc_RNA from 1 species